UGCCAGCCGCCGCGGUAAUACGUAGGGACCAAGCGUUGUUCGGAUUUACUGGGCGUAAAGGGAGCGUAGGCGGCGUGACAAGUCACUUGUGAAAUCUCCGGGCUUAACUCGGAGCUGCCAAGUGAUACUGUUGUGCUAGAGUGCAGAAGGGGCAAUCGGAAUUCUUGGUGUAGCGGUGAAAUGCGUAGAUAUCAAGAGGAACACCUGAGGCGAAGGCGGAUUGCUGGGCUGACACUGACGCUGAGGCUCGAAAGCUAGGGGAGCAAACGGGAUUAGAAACCCGUGUAGUCC
rnacentral:rRNA from 1 species